UAUAAGACUGGGAUAACUUCGGGAAACCGGAGCUAAUACCGGAUAACAUUUAGAACCGCAAGGUUCUAAAGUGAAANGAUGGUUUUGCUAUCACUUAUAGAUGGACCCGCGCCGUAUUAGCUAGUUGGUAAGGUAACGGCUUACCAAGGCGACGAUACGUAGCCGACCUGAGAGGGUGAUCGGCCACACUGGAACUGAGACACGGUCCAGACUCCUACGGGAGGCAGCAGUAGGGAAUCUUCCGCAAUGGGCGAAAGCCUGACGGAGCAACGCCGCGUGAGUGAUGAAGGGUUUCGGCUCGUAAAACUCUGUUAUUAGGGAAGAACAAAUGUGUAAGUAACUGUGCACAUCUUGACGGUACCUAAUCAGAAAGCCACGGCUAACUACGUGCCAGCAGCCGCGGUAAUACGUAGGUGGCAAGCGUUAUCCGGAAUUAUUGGGCGUAAAGCGCGCGUAGGCGGUUUCUUAAGUCUGAUGUGAAAGCCCACGGCUCAACCGUGGAGGGUCAUUGGAAACUGGGAAACUUGAGUGCAGAAGAGGAAAGUGGAAUUCCAUGUGUAGCGGUGAAAUGCGCAGAGAUAUGGAGGAACACCAGUGGCGAAGGCGACUUUCUGGUCUGUAACUGACGCUGAUGUGCGAAAGCGUGGGGAUCAAACAGGAUUAGAUACCCUGGUAGUCCACGCCGUAAACGAUGAGUGCUAAGUGUUAGGGGGUUUCCGCCCCUUAGUGCUGCAGCUAACGCAUUAAGCACUCCGCCUGGGGAGUACGACCGCAGGUUGAAACUCAGAG
rnacentral:rRNA from 1 species